rnacentral:tRNA from 1 species
GCCUGGCUGGCUCAGUUGGUAGAGCACGCAACUCCUGAUCAUGGGGUUGUGAGUUCGAGCCCUAUGUUGGGUG